rnacentral:tRNA from 1 species
GAGUCGAUAGUCCAGCGGACGACGAUCUGUGCCUUGAGUGCACAGAACCGAGGUUCGAAUCCUCAUCGGCUCG